GACGAACGCUGGCGGCGUGCCUAAUACAUGCAAGUAGAACGCUGAAGGAGGAGCUUGCUUCUCUGGAUGAGUUGCGAACGGGUGAGUAACGCGUAGGUAACCUGCCUGGUAGCGGGGGAUAACUAUUGGAAACGAUAGCUAAUACCGCAUAAGAGUAGAUGUUGCAUGACAUUUGCUUAAAAGGUGCAAUUGCAUCACUACCAGAUGGACCUGCGUUGUAUUAGCUAGUUGGUGAGGUAACGGCUCACCAAGGCAACGAUACAUAGCCGACCUGAGAGGGUGAUCGGCCACACUGGGACUGAGACACGGCCCAGACUCCUACGGGAGGCAGCAGUAGGGAAUCUUCGGCAAUGGACGGAAGUCUGACCGAGCAACGCCGCGUGAGUGAAGAAGGUUUUCGGAUCGUAAAGCUCUGUUGUAAGAGAAGAACGAGUGUGAGAGUGGAAAGUUUCACACUG
rnacentral:rRNA from 1 species